AUACGUAGGGGCCUGACGUUGUUCGGAAUCAUUGGGCGUAAAGGGCGCGCAGGCGGCCGUCCAAGUCCGGUGUUAAAUGGUCGGGCUCAACCCGAUCAUGCGCUGGAAACUGGGCGGCUGGAGUCCCGGAGGGGAUGCCGGAAUUCCAGGUGUAGGGGUGAAAUCUGUAGAUAUCUGGAAGAACACCGAUGGCGAAGGCAGGCAUCUGGCCGGAGACUGACGCUGAGGCGCGAAGGCGCGGGGAGCGAACAGGUUUAGAUACCCGGGUAGUCCGCGCAGUAAACGAUGCGCACCAGGUGUCGGGCGGCAGCGCCCGGUACCGGAGCAAACGCGAUGAGUGCGCCGCCUGGGGAGUAUGCCCGCAAGGG
rnacentral:rRNA from 1 species